AGACACAAAAGAGGAUGAAGCUUCUUCAUAACCACACUGAUGGUGACAAGUCACCUCUUAUGGAACAUUCUCCCAUCACACCAGAACAGGAUGAUGAGGAUGGUAUAUGGGCCUAAGCCAAGGUCUUCCUCUAUACUGCUACCCCAAGUUCCCUCAUGCAUACAUAUUGUGUUUUUCUGAUCAGUUCCAUGGAGGGGUUCACAGCGUGACUUUGUGAAGACUGGUUGACCCGCAAGUUUUCAAAUAUUUCUUCAGCUCCAGUCUUAAUUGACACAUCUUCUUACUUUGUGGUCAUUGAUUAACUGUGACAUAAGCAAUAUUAAAUAGAGAUCUCUUUUUUAAAAUAUGAUUAAGUAUUUAUUAAGAAUAUAACAACAUAAUCACAGAAUUACUAGUAAAUCAAGAGCAUUAUGACCAAUAGAUUUGUCUUGUUAUGCAGGACUCGAUGACAGGGGUUCUAUGAACCCAAAUUUUUUUUAUGAAAAAUCUAUCAUUAACCAAAUUUCUCACUGAAAUGGAAAUUAACCAAUGGUAAUUGCAUACUUGCAAUCGAAAAAUGAUAUGUUACUGUCAUUUUGAAGGAGAAAAGAGCUCCCUUAACAAUGUGUAAAGAGCACCAUAUUUCAUUUCUUCAUGCAUAAACUAUGACAAUUUGUACACACAGUGUAUAUUUCGAAGCUCUCCACAUUUGUAAAGUUGUGCAUGGGUCUGUUAAAGAGACUAAUUGAUUGUAAUGCAUGUACACAGUUUUAAAAAGUAUAUACAUGGAUAGUAACUAAUCCCAUAAAGGAGAAUUAGGGUUUGAAAUGGUCUCUUUCAUAACAAUCUUAACUUUGCAAUAUCAAUUGAGCAAUCAGAGACGGGCAGAGAGCCUCUCUGUUUUAUCUUGUCUUGCAGAAUGCAAGCAGAAAUUAUUUCUUUAUUCUUUGUUGGAAUCAAGCCUUCCAUGUGGGGAUGGUUUGUGAGCAAUCUUAUCUUGGUGCUCUGAUGAUAUCACAAUUUAUAUGAUUCUAUAUUGAAAUAUCAAAACUUCUAAGAGUACUAGAUUAUCGGUGCAUUCCACUUUGCUUUUGUUUUCUUUUAAUCGUGGUACUUCAGACUGGAUACAGUUCUAGACAAAAAAAGCAAAAUAUUUACACUUAUUUUGAAUCCUGUAUUUACAGAAGUACUGUUAAAUGUCUAUAUCAUUUAUUUCAAAGUAAGUUUUUUGUAUGAUUACUUUCUUAGAUGUGGGUGCUCUAUUUUCUGAUUGAUUUACACUGAAGUGAAAUGGGAUAUUUAAGAAAGAAAAACUCUUCCCCACAAAACAAGAAAGACAAGGAAAGUGUAUGAAGAAACAUAGUACCUUCUUUAAAUAUUCAAUGUACAAUAUUUUCCCCAACAAUUUCUUUUCCAUCUGAGCAUUACAUCUCGGUUUCAAACACAUUUUCUUUCAAUUUGUUUAUAUUCUUGUGACAUGUGCUUACUGAUGACUAAAGAGAGUUUGAAUGUGAAAGAUAAACCAAAUUAAGCAAAGUCAGGGAAAGACAGCACAGUUCCAAGUAAGAAAAAAAAUCCACCAUCCUGCACGGGAAAGGGAAGAAAGUACAGGACGAUCUGAAACAGACAGUUUUUUUUCUUUAUGGAAUACCAACCUGCACCCACUACACCCUAUCACAGUCACACCUCCAUAUGGGUUCGUUGGUAUCUAUCCCAAAUAUGGAAAUUAACAUUGACCUUUUGACCUCACCCUUGACCCGCUGACAUUGACUUCGCACCUGUGUAAGGUUUGAUGACGGUUGAUGUGCGAGUGUCAUUUUACAGAGGCGCGUUGAGAUCGCACUAGGGAGGUGAUAUAACCUUACGCCUUGCAAAAAGAGAUGGGUAUAUCAUGAAAUAUAGGAUACAGAAAUGGAAAAUAUAAACAGACUACUUCAUUGUUCAUGUAGAUCAUUGGAUGUAUUUUUAGCAAAAUGAAUAGCAAGGGACAUUCUCCUUAUAAACACAAUGGUUCUUUGUAUAAUCUUCAGAAUCAUUGUUAAAUUCUUACUUAUGUUUCAGACUGAGCUAUAAGGAGAAAAUAUUUCUCUGAAAUAUAUCUGGACCCUGUCGCAUAAAGACUGGCAUUCGAUUGCAAAUUUUGAACAACGAUUCUGAUUGGUUGAUAGCGUAUGUGUUUUGCAGGGCCCAAGGGUUGGUGACACUAACAAAAUGCAAUUAACAGGUGUUUGAAACAAAUUCAAUUUAUCAUAUGACACCUAGAUAGAUCCUUGUCAUUUGAUUGGUUGUUUGAUAUCAAUCAUUCAGCCCAUUUUACAAUGACGUCAUCAUCUUUGCAAUUUCGGAUCCAUUCAUCGUGCAAGUUUGGAUGCAUGCGAUUUUGUCCAUUGCACGCGCGCACCGAGAGCGCAGGCACCCCAAGUAAAAACAGUGUUUGCAACGUGUGUGUUGCAUGUAUGCGACAGUCAACAGACCAAGCUCGCACUGCAAGAGCAUAUUUUGCAUCAAAAUUCAUAAAUUUCAAAUGAAAAAGGAUCUAUUUUUGCCAUUCAUGAAAUAUUCUGUCCAUUGCAUCCAUAAACAUUCAUUAUUUGUAUAAUAAUUGACUAUGCUCCUUAUCCCCAUAUUCUUGUUUGAUAAUAAUACUAAUAAAACUGAUUAUUUUGCACACCAAACAAUUGUCCAUAA